GAAGGGCCCUGGUCUCACGGUCUCGCUGCCCCUCUUGGCUUCUUCCCUGCAGGUGAACUUCCGCAGCCCCCGGAGCGGACAGAGGUGCUGGGCAGCUCGGACCUCGGUGGAGAAGCGGCUGGUGGUUCUGGUGACGCUUCUGGCAGCAGGGCUGGUGGCCUGCCUGGCAGCCCUAGGCAUCCAGUACCGGACAAGAACGCCUCCGGUAUGUCUGACUGAGGCCUGUGUCUCAGUGACCAGCUCCAUCCUAAACUCCAUGGACCCCACGGUAGACCCCUGCCAGGACUUCUUCAGCUACGCCUGUGGUGGCUGGAUCAAGGCCAACCCCGUUCCCGACGGUCACUCACGCUGGGGGACCUUCAGCAACCUCUG
rnacentral:lncRNA from 1 species